AAAGCCAUAAUUUUUUUUGUGGAUUAUUAGGCUGCAUUAUUGGCUCGUUGUGACAAUAUAUUAAAUUAAAUCAAUAUUUUUAUCUUGCCGUAGUCGUCGCACCCACACUGUACCUACUUAAAAGUUUAAUGCAUGUCAUUUUGUUUUGUGUCGUGAUUCGUGACUUUGUCGAUUGUCUAUCUAAACCUUGGUGUUUCAGCAUUUUUACUCUCCUGCUGACCAAAGACUGUUGAUUGAAUCUCAGAAGAAUCAUGUCUUUGUUUGGGGAGAUUGGUGAGCCUUCUUCUCGCGCUGAUUUUGAAGAUUGGGAUGGACCUCCAUCUGAUAAACCAAAGUUGCAAUGGAAAACAAAUUCAUUUGUUCGUCCAAAAAUUGUUGAUGCAGUACUCAUAUUUGAAGGAGAAUAUUUGUUUCAUUGCAUCUUUGCUCAAACAAAAAACAACUUGAAGUUGAAAAACACCGUUGAAGAAAUUGGUUUGAGCCUGUAUAAGAUUAUACUAACCAAUAAUUAUGUGUUUGUAGUUCGAGACUAUGAUAUGCCCAGAACUGGUGAAGUUGUCGAAUUAAUACGUUAUUUUCUGAAUGAGUCAAAGGAAGUGCUCACUCUGCAAACUAGACCCUUGACUGAGUAUCAGUCGCCAAAUCCAGUUUGUCAAAGUGUUAUAAGAACAGUGUCUACUACCAACGUAAAAUCUAAUGAUCUACUGUACCCAGCAUUGGAACAGCCAAAUAUGUUAACUGGAAUCUCAGCUGGAGUAAUAAGCCUGAGAGAACACCUGGGUCUUGCUGGUAAAACUAUUGUAUGCUAUGUCUCAAAUCCUAGAAGGUGUCUUGAGAAUGAUGUGCAGAUAAUGCUUGAAAAACUUGCUAUUGGCCCACCCAGCUCACCAAGCAGUAUUGAUAUGGAUACAAAUCUAUACACAUAAAAUGAAUGGUGUUUUGGACAGUGACCAAAAAUGUAUGGAGCGUGGUCUAAAUGUCCACCACUAACGAGACCUUUGUAGUAAAAUAGUCUACUAAAUACUGAUUCAUUAUAACCAAACUGCAAUCAAAAAUAUGCUGUCAGUAAAAACUUAUGACUGAAUUAAAAGUCAUGUUUUUUAAACCUUUUCAGCCAAAAAAUGUUCUUGAUAUCAUUCAAUCCAUCGCACAUUUUGGACUAAUCUAUGCAUGUCGCGUAGUGUGCCGUGUUAAGUUCUCGCUAAAAGAAAAAAAAAUAAGCUCAGAAAAAAGACAACAAUAUUGGAAUACUUGCAAUAAUGCGAAAGGGGUAAAAAUAGUCUUAUUUCCAACUGGCGCGGGGUUAUAGAUGAAUUAUAUUACAUAUUAUACUAGCUGUGCCUACGACUUUGUAUGCGUGAAAAUAGUUUGAAUAAUAUUUCCCAAUUUUACAACAUUUUUCUUUACUGCUCCGCCCCUAUUGGUUUUAGGGUGAUGUUAUACAGUGUGUCCGGGCUUGUAGUGAUCAAACUUUAUGGGCGUAAUCUAUGGACAAUUUUAUCGAUGAAAAUACUUCAAAUUUGGGGCAUGACCCAUUUCUCGCAAAAUUACGAGGAUUUAAGUUUUUAAUUUUUAGUUUUCACCUCUUCCUUCAAAAACAAGUGAAAGCGUAUUUAGUUUAACACUAAUAAGCAAACAUUUUAUAUCAUGCGAUAGCCAAUAAAAUUAUCUAUUAGCAGAAGUAGAAAACAGAUACAAGUUUCAUACAUUUUAAGGGAGUAAGAAUGGAUUUAAUUAGAAAAAAACAUGACUUUUUUCACUUCUUUUUCAGUUAUUUUCCAACACAAGAAAAACCAGGUCGUUAAGGUAUGUUUAAUUUGCAUUGUAUUAUUAGUAUUUGAGCUAUUCUACAAAACGAAUGUAAAUUUAUUAGUGUACGUUUAUUAGUUUCGACGUAAUUGUUGAACAAAGAUACUACCCCUUCCCAGCGGUUUCCAUAGCGCACGCGACAUGCGAAAAUGCACUGCCUGAAAGAAUCACACAACCUAUUCCGAUUACUAUGGAAACCGCUGGGAAGGGGUAUCUUUGUUCAACAAUUACGUCGAAACUAAUAGACGUAGACUAAUAAAUUUACAUUCAUUUUGUAGAAUAGCUCAAAUACUAAUAAUACAAUGCAAAUAAAACAUACCUUAACGACCUGGUUUUUCUUGUGUUGGAAAAUAACUGAAAAAGAAGUGAAAAAAGUCAUGUUUUUUUCUAAUUAAAUCCAUUCUUACUCCCUUAAAAUGUAUGAAACUUGUAUCUGUUUUCUACUUUUGCUAAAGGAUAAUUUUAUUGGCUAUCGCAUGAUAUAAAAUAUUUGCUUAUUAAUGUUAAGCUACCCACGCUUUCACUUGUUUUUGAAGGAAGAGGUGAAAACUAAAAAUUAAAAACUAAAAUCCUUGUAAUUUUGCGAUAAAUGGGUCAAGCCCCAAAUUUGAAGUAUUUUUAUCGAUAAAAUUGUCCCUAGAUUUCGCCCUUAAAGUUUGAUCACUACAUGCCCGGACACACUGUAUAACCUAAAACCAUCCUUGAUAAUUGGGCUAUUCAUAAGAAAAAGAAUUUUUCAAAUCUGAUCAGUAGUUCCUGAGAUUAGCGCGUAAACUACUACAUUUUUUCAUACAGUCAUAACUUUUUACUGACAGCUUUUUUUCGACCCAUACUGAAAGUUAAUACCUAUUUAAUGGACUAUAAGCCAAUAUAGGUCUCAUUAGUGGUGGACAUUUGGACCACUUUUGGUCAUUGUCCUUAAAUGGUACCUGAAUUAAUUUUGUGUCAGAAAAUUAUAAGUAAUCAAUAGUUAAUUUUAUUAAUAUAGUUAUUUAGAUAUAAAUUGUGUUCAUUACAUUUAAAUUUAGAUGGUUAAUUAAUCACUAAUCAACUUAUUAAGAUUUAAGGGUAAACCAGAAACUAACAACACAAAUGUUCCUGGUUAUUUAGUGGUAACAAUUAUUUCAAUAUAAUAAAAAUUAUAAAGUAUUAGUUUUAACAACCGAAAUACCUGAUGCUUAGGACUGAUUUUGAGAUAACUAAUACACUACAUAAUACUAAAAUCAAA